UAUACUUAUUCACUUAUUUCCAAUUAGUUUCUAAUAAAUAUUCUUCUAUUAAUUAAAGUCGGGAUGUUACAAUCUACCCCCCUUAAAGGAAUUUGGUCCUCGAAAUUCGGAUUUUUCUUCACGCAACACCAGGGUAACCGUCUACGUUUCCGUCCGAUUCAUGACAUUGAUUCCUCCUUAUGUACAAUAUCACGACUCUUUGGUGCGUGGUUAUCCCAUAACAGUCGUUCCCGUUAUCUUUUCGUAGUUCACAUGCUUAUGAAAUGUUAGUCCUUUCGUCUACACCCUUGACGUCGAUACUAGAGUACACUUACUCCUACUAGUUCAUCAUGUUGAACAUCUCAGUUGAACCGUGUUUUCCGAACAUUGUCUCUUCUCGCAAGAGUACUUCUCUACUAACAAUCCAAGGUUUGAGUGUGACAGUGUGCAUACUUACUCAUCACACGUGCAUUACUCGUUUCACAGUCA
rnacentral:lncRNA from 1 species